CACGUAGGGCGCAAGCGUUGUCCGGAAUUAUUGGGCGUAAAGAGCUCGUAGGCGGACUGUCACGUCUGCUGUGAAAAGCUGGGGCUUAACCCUGGCCUUGCAGUGGAUACGGGCAGACUAGAGGUAGGGAGGGGAGAAUGGAAUUCCCGGUGUAGCGGUGAAAUGCGCAGAUAUCGGGAGGAACACCGGUGGCGAAGGCGGUUCUCUGGGCCUUACCUGACGCUGAGGAGCGAAAGCGUGGGGAGCGAACAGG
rnacentral:rRNA from 1 species